rnacentral:rRNA from 1 species
CACGUAGGGCGCGAGCGUUGUCCGGAAUUAUUGGGCGUAAAGAGCUCGUAGGCGGCCUGUUGCGUCCGCUGUGAAAGCCCGGGGCUUAACCCCGGGUCGGCAGUGGAUACGGGCAGGCUAGAGGUAGGUAGGGGAGAAUGGAAUUCCCGGUGUAGCGGUGAAAUGCGCAGAUAUCGGGAGGAACACCGGUGGCGAAGGCGGUUCUCUGGGCCUUACCUGACGCUGAGGAGCGAAAGCGUGGGGAGCGAACAGGAUUAG